rnacentral:rRNA from 1 species
GACGAACGCUGGCGGCGUGCUUAACACAUGCAAGUCGAACGGGCCUGCCUGGCUUUGGUUGGGUGGGUGAGUGGCGAACGGGUGAGUAACACGUGAGUAACCUGCCCUCUUCUCUUGGAUAACUGCUUGAAAGGGCGGCUAAUACGGGAUGUUCUGGCUGCCUCGCAUGGGGUGGUUUGGAAAGAUUCGGCCUGGUUUUGGUUGUUUUGGUGGGGGAUGGGCUCGCGGCUUAUCAGCUUGUUGGUGGGGUGAUGGCCUACCAAGGCGGUGACGGGUAGCCGGCCUGAGAGGGUGGACGGUCACACUGGGACUGAGACACGGCCCAGACUCCUCGGGAGGCAGCAGUGGGGGAUUUUGCACAAUGGGCGCAAGCCUGAUGCAGCGACGCCGCGUGAGGGAUGGAGGCCUUCGGGUUGUGAACCUCUGUCGCCGGUGAUGUAGGCUCUGCUUUGUG